UGAGGAAUAUUGGUCAAUGGGCGCGAGCCUGAACCAGCCAAGUAGCGUGAAGGAUGAAGGUCCUAUGGAUUGUAAACUUCUUUUAUAGCAGCAUAAAGUGACCCACGUGUGGGUUUUUGUAUGUAUGCUAUGAAUAAGGAUCGGCUAACUCCGUGCCAGCAGCCGCGGUAAUACGGAGGAUCCGAGCGUUAUCCGGAUUUAUUGGGUUUAAAGGGUGCGUAGGCGGAAAGAUAAGUCAGCCUGUGAAAGUUUGCGGCUCAACCGUAAAAUUGCAGUUGAUACUGUUUGUCUUGAGUGUACAUUAGGUAGGCGGAAUUCGUGGUGUAGCGGUGAAAUUCUUAGAUAUCACGAAGAACUCCGAUUGCGAAGGCAGCUUACCGGGGUACAACUGACGCUGAUGCAUGAAAGUGUGGGUAUCAAACA
rnacentral:rRNA from 1 species